rnacentral:tRNA from 1 species
GGGUCUUUCGUCUAAUUGGUUAAGACACCAAUCUCAUAAAUUGGCUGAUGCCCGUUCAAAUCGGGUGAGACCCACCA